rnacentral:rRNA from 2 species
AAGCGGGAAAAGCUCAAAUUUAAAAUCUGGUAGUCUCUGGCUGCCCGAGUUGUAAUCUGGAGAAGUGUUUUCUGUGCUGGGCCGUGUACAAGUCUCUUGGAAUAGAGCGUCAUAGAGGGUGAGAAUCCCGUCUUUGACACGGACAUCCAGUGCUCUGUGAUGCACUCUCAAAGAGUCGAGUUGUUUGGGAAUGCAGCUCAAAAUGGGUGGUAAAUUCCAUCUAAAGCUAAAUAUUGGCAAGAGACCGAUAGCGAACAAGUACCGUGAGGGAAAGAUGAAAAGAACUUUGGAAAGAGAGUUAAACAGUACGUGAAAUUGUUGAAAGGGAAACGCUUGAAGUCAGUCGCGUCUAGCAAGGAUCAGCCCUUCUCGGAGGGUGUAUUUCUUGCUUGACGGGUCAACAUCAAUUUUGACUACUGGAAAAAGGCCAGGGGAAGGUGGCACCUUCGGGUGUGUUAUAGCCUUUGGUCAUAUACAGUAGUUGGGAUUGAGGAAUUCAGCAUGCCUUCAUGGCUGGGGUUCGCCCACAUUCAUGCUUAGGAUGUUGGCAUAAUGGCUUUAAGCGACCCGUCUUGAAACACGGACCAAGGAGUCUAACAUACCUGCGAGUGUUUGGGUGUAAAAACCCGAGCGCGUAAUGAAAGUGAAAGUUGAGACCCUUUUAAGGGGCAUCGACGCCCGGACCAGACCUUUUGUGACGGAUCUGCGGUAGAGCAUGUAUGUUGGGACCCGAAAGAUGGUGAACUAUGCCUGAAUAGGGUGAAGCCAGAGGAAACUCUGGUGGAGGCUCGUA